GAUGAACGCUAGCGGCAGGCCUAACACAUGCAAGUCGAGGGGUAGCAGGAUUAAGCUUGCUUAAUUGCUGACGACCGGCGCACGGGUGCGUAACGCGUAUGCAACCUACCUUAUACUGGGGUAUAGCCCGGAGAAAGUCGGAUUAAUCCCCCAUAGUACUAAUGAAGCGCAUGGUUUAUUAGUUAAAGCAUUGCGGUAUAAGAUGGGCAUGCGUCCUAUUAGCUAGAUGGUGAGGUAACGGCUCAACAUGGCUACGAUAGGUAGGGGGCCUGGGAGGGUGGUCCCCCACACUGGUACUGAGACACGGACCAGACUCCUACGGGAGGCAGCAGUGAGGAAUAUUGGUCAAUGGGCGCAAGCCUGAACCAGCCAUGCCGCGUGCAGGAAGAAUGCCCUAUGGGUUGUAAACUGCUUUUAUUCGGGAAUAAACCUCUUUACGUGUAGAGAGCUGAAGGUACCAAAUGAAUAAGCACCGGCUAACUCUGUGCCAGCAGCCGCCGUAA
rnacentral:rRNA from 1 species